UCCUUGCUGAUGAGUGCCAAAUAGCACGAAACCCGAGUCCAAGGU
rnacentral:hammerhead_ribozyme from 1 species